UGCAGUCGAGCGGUAGAGAGAGCUUGCUUCUCUUGAGAGCGGCGGACGGGUGAGUAAUGCCUAGGAAUCUGCCUAGUGGUGGGGGAUAACGUUCGGAAACGGACGCUAAUACCGCAUACGUCCUACGGGAGAAAGCGGGGGACCUUCGGGCCUCGCGCCAUUAGAUGAGCCUAGGUCGGAUUAGCUAGUUGGUGGGGUAACGGCUCACCAAGGCGACGAUCCGUAACUGGUCUGAGAGGAUGAUCAGUCACACUGGAACUGAGACACGGUCCAGACUCCUACGGGAGGCAGCAGUGGGGAAUAUUGGACAAUGGGCGAAAGCCUGAUCCAGCCAUGCCGCGUGUGUGAAGAAGGUCUUCGGAUUGUAAAGCACUUUAAGUUGGGAGGAAGGGCAGUAACUUAAUACGUUGCUAUUUUGACGUUACCGACAGAAUAAGCACCGGCUAACUCUGUGCCAGCAGCCGCGGUAAUACAGAGGGUGCAAGCGUUAAUCGGAAUUACUGGGCGUAAAGCGCGCGUAGGUGGUUUGUUAAGUUGGAUGUGAAAGCCCCGGGCUCAACCUGGGAACUGCAUCCAAAACUGGCAAGCUAGAGUACGGUAGAGGGUGGUGGAAUUUCCUGUGUAGCGGUGAAAUGCGUAGAUAUAGGAAGGAACACCAGUGGCGAAGGCGACCACCUGGACUGAUACUGACACUGAGGUGCGAAAGCGUGGGGAGCAAACAGGAUUAGAUACCCUGGUAGUCCACGCCGUAAACGAUGUCAACUAGCCGUUGGAUUCCUUGAGAACUUAGUGGCGCAGCUAACGCAUUAAGUUGACCGCCUGGGGAGUACGGCCGCAAGGUUAAAACUCAAAUGAAUUGACGGGGGCCCGCACAAGCGGUGGAGCAUGUGGGUUAAUUCGAAGCAACGCGAAGAACCUUACCUGGCCUUGACAUGCUGAGAACUUUCCAGAGAUGGAUUGGUGCCUUCGGGAACUCAGACACAGGUGCUGCAUGGCUGUCGUCAGCUCC
rnacentral:rRNA from 1 species